UGAGUGGACCGGGUGGUCGCUGGCCGGCUCGCCUGCGGGUGGGUCGACGAGAGGAAAGUCCGAGCUCCACAGGGCAAUGGUGCUGGAUAACGUCCAGCGAGGGUGACCUCAGGGAAAGUGCCACAGAGAGUAGACCGCCCUCCGGCGCCUCGGCGCUCAGGGGGUAAGGGUGAAAGCGUGAGGUAAGAGCUCACGGGCGCCCCACGGUGACGUGGGGAGCCGGUAAACCCCACCUGGAGCAAGAUCGAAACAGGGGCUGGCGCGAGCCACGGACGGCCCGUCCGAGUCCCCCGGGAGCAUCGCUGGAGCGGCGUGGCAACGCGUCGCCUAGAUGAAUGGCCAUCGCCGACGCGAGGGUGACCGAGCGCCGGAACAGAACUCGGCUUACAGGCCUGUCACGGU
rnacentral:RNase_P_RNA from 1 species